rnacentral:other from 1 species
UCCCCGAGAGCUGCCCGCGAGAAGCCUGUGCCCCGGAGAGCGCGGGGAGCGGCGCGGGCGGGAGCGGGGCGCUCAGGGCCAUGCAGCGGCGAAGCUCGGAGCAGCGGUAGCGCCCCCUGUGAGCCGCCAGGAGAUGCCCCGGCCACUGUGAGCCGCGCGCCGGCUGGGCUUGGACACGCUCCGCCGCCGCAGACACAGUCCACUCCACGCACCGGUGACCCAGCACACGCAGCGCAAGACACACCGGGGCGGCGUAGGGACACGUCCUCUGGCUGACUGGGGCUGGCACUG